UUGAUGGUGGACGAGUGUACAAAUCUUCAUAGAUGGGCGUAAUAGUUUUAAUAUUAGCGUGGCAAAGAAUAGCUCUAUUCCAAAUGUUGAAUUUUUAAUAAUGUGAAUUAUAUAUUAUGUAUGAUGUAGUUUUGAAUAAUGUGAAUUAUUUAUUAUUCAAAUUUGUUGCUAUGUGGUUGGAGAUACAUAUUUCAAUUUGACGGCUAAAAACUGACGGGAAAUAGAAAUUAUAAAUUGCGAAACGGGCCGUCAAAAACUGACGGAAAAUAGAAAUUAUAAAUAAUUCAUGAGAAAUAAUAUAUUGAAUGGGAAAAUAUAUAUUCCAGAUGGGCGGCAGAAGCACCCGCCAUCUGUGCUGGCGGGUGGCUAACGUCGCCCGCCAGCACAGACGACAUUUGUUCUGGUGGAUGCUCGACCCGCCAGCACAUGCACUUGUAGUCAGCAGCACAAAUCUUUUAUGACCUAGUGAAAGCCGGUCGUCGAGAAUUUGAAGAGCGCGAAGCAAAACGCGCAACCGGCGACGACGAGCACGAGUGCGGCCCACGGGCUGCUGCAGUGGUCACGCAGGAACUCGGCCUUGUGCCUGCGCCAGCUCGAGCGGUAGUACCGGUUCAGAUCGGCGAACAUGGCGGCGAAGCUGUGGUCCUCGUACUCCAAGCUGGCGCAGUCGCCCAGCUGCUGGAAGACCUUGGCCGCCGCGUCGUCAUCGGUGCCCAGGAGGUUGUCGACGACGCCGCGCUUCUGGAGGUGCUCCACGUCCUCGCCCGUCCUAACCCGGGAACCCACCAGCGCCGCGUAGCGCGACACCGGUGGACGUGGCUCUUGGCAGGCGAACUCAUCCUUUUGGUGGUGCCACGCAUCCUGCACUUUGUCCUUCACCUUGGAAAUGCCAGGGAUGUGAGUUACUCGUCUUGGCUCCUUUUUGUUUCGAGCCGGAGCCGGCUGCGCCUUCGAGCUAGUUCCACCACUCCCAGGCUGCGGCACCGGUAGAUCGGCGAACAUGGCGGCGAAGCUAUGGUCCUCGUACUCCAAGCUGGCGCAGUCGCCCAGCUGCUGGAAGAACUUGGCCGCCGCGUCGUCGUCGGUGCCCAGGAGGUUGUCGACGAUGCCGCGCUUCUGAAGGUGCUCCACGUCCUCGCCCGUCCUCACCCGGGAACCCACCAGCGCCGCAUAGCGCGACACCGGUGGACGUGGAUCUUGGCAGGCGAACUCAUCCUUUUGGUGGUGCCACGCAUCCUGCACUUUGCCCUUCACCUUGGAAAUGCCAGGGAUGUGAGUUACUCGUCUUGGCUCCUUUUUGUUUCGAGCCGGUGCCGGCAGCGCCCUCGAGCUAGUUCCACCACUCCCAGGCUGCGGCACCGGUGGACGUGGAUCUUGGUAGGCGAAGUCGCUCCUGCUUUGGGCUUCCCAUCCCGGACUGGGACUGGCUCCUCCUCCUCCUACCAUGGUCAGGCGGCCAAAGGCUGAUGAGAGUACGGAAUCCGUAUAGAAAUGGCAGGCAACUUUAAACCUCAAACAUAUUACAAAUUAAACUCUUCCAUCGAUAUAGCAGCGCUGCUAGCCUAAUUAGAAGUAUAAAAUCACUGCUACUACUGAAAAAUGGAACCGAAAUCGUAGCUAAAUCGAAGAUCUUGUGCACCUAGCUAUAGUUGUUACCUUCUUCAGCAGAGGAGGACGCUUGCCUGUUUUUUGCGUAAAAGGAAAAUGCCAUCAGUUGAUUGUAAUGCUCUCCAGCUUAGACCCGGAUCAAUUGUAGCAGGAGAGUAGUAGUGCUCAACAUGAGCUGAACCCGU
rnacentral:lncRNA from 1 species